rnacentral:lncRNA from 1 species
AUAAUCUUUUUCUCUGAGAUAAUGAUCCAGUCUGAUUAAGCCUGUAGUUAGAGAUUAGUUUCGUUACUAAUAACAGUUGUGUUUCUGCUCUAAUGAAGAAGACACAGAUGAUUCAUCUGACAAGGAUUCUUCAGACACAGAUGAGCAGCAGGACUCUGAUGAUUCUGCAGAUUCUGACAAAGACAAAACAGAUGGAAACUUAGAUGAAAAGAGUGGCGAGAAAAAGGAGAAAGACACCAGUAAUGACUCCAGUAAAGACUCAGAAGACGAGGGUCGAGAAAGCUCUGAGACGCCAGACAAAAGCGACACAGACAGCGACUCAGACACUGAUGAGCUGAAAGUUUCAGACGACUCCAAAGACCAGGAUUCAGAAUCAAAAGACACCGACAGCAAGGAGAAGAAAGAGAAAGACCAGGACUCUGACAGCGACGCAGACACCAGCAGCGAUCAAGACAAAGCAGAUUCCCCUGAUGCAGCAGACGCCAAGGACAGCGCCGAGGAUAAAGACAAGGACAGCAGCGACCCGAAAGACACCGAAGAUGAUAGAGACAGUGAGAAGGAUGCCAAAAAGAAGGAGGACACCAAUGAGACGGGCAGCGAUAGCGAUGAGGGAAAAGAUAAGGAGGACGAAUCCAAACCAGACGAACAGGACAAGGAAGACACCACCUCAAAAGAAGACGCCACAGACAGUCAGUCUGAUGAAAGUCCACUGGAGGAAAUGAAAGAAGACAAGCAGGAAGACAAACCUGAGUCUGACAGCUCCAGUCUGGACUCAAAUUCAGACUCGGACACUGACAGUAAAGAUAAAGAGCAGGACAAAGAGAAGAAGAGAACAGAGUCCACAGACACAGAAAGCUCUGAUAGCGACACAGACAGCUCAGAAACAGGAGGGAAGGUAAACAUUCAAGCCUUCACUAUUUACACUCAUUAAAGCACAAUAUACAAUCGCUGUUACACCUCCAGAUACUGAUGAAGACAAUGACUCCAGUCAUGGAAAAGGAGUAAACAAGGUAUUACUGAUUAAUAUGGAAGACCACUUCUAGCUCAGAGUAAUAAAUAUAUCAGAUAAUGUGAGAAUGUUUAAAAUAAGAAUGAAGUCACAUUGUGCAGUAUGAAGCCUCAAUUAAGAUAUAUAAAGUCAUGAUUGCAGGACAUACAGUCAUUUUGUGUUACAUAAAGUCACAAUUUUGAGUUUUAAAGUCAUAUUGUGAGAUAUAAAGGCACAGUUAAAGAUAUAAAGUCACAUAUUGAGGUAUAAAGUCAUAAUUGCAUGAUAUCAAGUCAAUUUCAGAUUUAAGAUGCAACAGUUGACAAUAUAAAGUCACAUGUUGAGAUAUAGUGACAAUUGAAGAUAAAGUCACAAUUUUGAGAUAUAAAGUCGCAUUUUCACAUAAAGUCACAUUGUGAGAUAAAAAUUCACAACUGAAGAUAGAAAAUCACAAUUGUGAGAUUUGGUCAUAAUUAGGAUAAAUUCAUAAAGUCAAAACUGUCAAAAAUAAAGUCAUAAUUGAAGAUGAAUAAGUCAUGGUUGUGAGGUCACAUUUUGACGAAGUAAUAAAGUGAGAUAUAAAGUUAUUAUUGAAGAUGUAUAUGGUAUAGGGAACACAUAUUCACUAUUAACUAAGAUUUUUCCCUGAACAAAUGCCGAAAUUGCUGUUUAUUAAUAGUUAAUAAGGUAGUUGUUAAGUUUAGGUAUGGGGAAGGAUUAAGGGAUCUAAAAUAUGGCUGUGCAGAAUAAGGCAUUAAUAUGUGCUUUAUAAAUAUUCAUAAACAGCCAGUAUGCUAGUAAUAUGCUAAUAAGCAACUAGUUAAUAGUCGGUCCUUAAAAUAAAGUGUUACUGUCAUAAUUACAUGACAAAGUCAUAAAUUAAUAUAUAAAGUCACUGUGAAAUAGAAAAAAUAAAUAAACAAAAGGGGCUUCCGUAGACAUUUAUUCACCGGCAGUCUACUGUUACAGAAAAAAAGCUGGGAAUUUCUAAUAUAUGAAUGUCUAAACCUACAGAGUCUCCUGAUGGUGCAUCAAUAGAGACAAAUGAAUCUGACUCCAGCGGUAAGACAAACCACAACAUUUACUAUUUACAUGUCAGUGGAGUUAUAAAAUAUCUUCAUUUCAAUGCAAUCUGAGGUUCUUCUCACUUGUCUUUACUGAGCUAUGAAGUAGAAGACAACGGACAUGGAAAAUUAUAAAGCUUUCAAAAAAGAAUCAAGCACUGGUUGAACUAUAUAAUAUAAUGAAAGAUUUGUGAGUUUUAUCUAAGUAUAUUAUUUGCAAAAAAUCGCAAGUUACUUUUGAAUGACCAUCAUUGGAGUUACAUUGCACAGCAUUUUUGAUUCAAGUAGGGACCGGAAAAAAAAAACUGAUAUAAAGUCAUAAAUGUGGGAUAUCACAUUUAUCACAUACUGUAGAUAUCAGAAUGAUUCAUUUGAAGAUAUUAAAUUAUUAUGAAUGAUGUUGCUUCACACAGCAUUUCUGAUUUAAGCGUGGACAGAAAAAAACAAUUGAAGAUAUAUAUUCACAUAUUAACAUAUUAUGUCAUAUUGUGAGAUAUAGUGUCACUAAAACGUGUUAAGACAUGAUGAAAUUGAUGCAGUAUUUUUCUUUUUCUUCUUCUAGAUGACCAUGACAAUCACUCGACAGAUGUUACAACAUCAAACGGUAAAUAUGAGCUCAGUUAUGUAAGGAUAAAGUGAUGCCUUUGUCAUGUAAAAACAUUAAAUGUAUGUUCUUUCAAUUUCUUGCCAUCUCUAGAGGAACACACUGAUGCAGACAGCCAUGAUGCUGCAGACGGUACAUUCAUAGCACUUAAUUUUGAGUUAUCAUCAGCUUUACUACUGCUUUUGAACACACCCUAAGUAUUAUAUUUUUGGGACACAACUCAUGCCAUUUGUGCUAAAGACAUGAAUGAUUGUAAAAGUAGUUGUUACCUGUUACUCUCUGAUUGGGCUGAAUUCUCAAAGAAUUCUAGGAAAUUGUGAAUUGAAAGCUGCCUCAAUUCUUUCCCAUGCUUCUUUCUGUUUAGAUGAUGACGACACUGACGCCCAUGAUGAUGAAGUCAGGGUUGGAGAUGGCAUAGGUAAGUCACUCACUCAUUUGCCUCCUCACAUCAUAGUUGUCUCAGAUUUUUCUCCCAAAAUUCCUUAUGAGACACAAAUGAAACAGAUACAGUAAGUGAUACAGUAAGAGUAUAGAUCUGGCACUAGCAAUGCGUGUCUGCCAGGUGCACACAUGUACAUCAUUUUGUUUCAAAUACAUUUUGUUUGAUUUCAUACUUAAAACUGUGACUUCUGAUUUAAAGAACAAUGAUAACACUUGUCACAUCCAUUUUUUUGUUUUUUUUUUGUUUUUUACAGACACUGCUUCUAAAAAACACGAUGAACCAGAUCAUCUUGAUGACACAACACAAGGUAAUGAAUGAUUCUGCUUAAAACACUUAACUUUUCAGGGAAUGGGAGUUCAAAGGAGAACUUUACACAUGCUAAUAUCUGUUUCUCCCUUUCUUCAGGAUCAGAUGAUGGCAGCAAAACCCCUAUGCCAAGCUCCUAGCGACCAGGACUCUACAAAAACCCUAUGCCAAGCUCCUAGCGACCAGGACUCUACAAAAACACUGUAACAGGUAUCACAUAAUCACCGAUUAAAAGCUUUACAUAGGCCUUACUUUAAGUUUAUAAAGACAACAUAUUUCAAAUUUCUAUUCUUACAGUUGUCUGUCUCUUACCCAGUCUCUGAUUACUUCAUCUGCUGUCUUAAAUGAUACUAUGGAAACUAAUCAUACUUAUAACUUUAUUUGAUUUUUCACAUUUUUAUAUUGCAGUCUCCUGAACAAUGAAUGUACAUUAAUUGUACAUUCAAGGCAAUUAUAGCAUAUCAGUGGUAUCAAAUUAAAUUCUAAGACAAACAAUAAUAAUAAAGGGUAAAUCAGCAUAUUCAUAAGCAAUUAACAUACAUUCGGUGCAUUAUAAAUCAACCAAAGUAUCCUACAUUCAAGGCUUUACAGUAAAGUUUAGUAGUUUACAAUUCACUAUUUUUUGUGUCUUUUUUAUUUCUCGUUGCUGUUAUUGUAUGAAGGUAGUGACCUAUUUCUGUCUUAAAAUGAGCCAAGUCUUAUUCAAUGCCUCUUUACAUUUGUGGAUAAAGAAAUUUACAUGCGAGUCAUUUAUACACAUCAAGCAGUCCGUUGUGCUUCUUGAUAUUGCAAACUGGUUUACCUCUGCGUUCCAAAAUAAGGUGGAUGUCAUACUCAGCACAGACAUUUUAAGUCACCUGUAUCGCCCUCUGGAGUCUUGCAGUGUUACUGCCCCAAUAACAACAACAUUCAUGACUUCAUUGACGUCCUAGCAUAAAGUAGUUCCCUCUUGCUCUCAGAUAAACGCCGGCCUGAAAUGUCACAGAAUGAGAUAUUUUCUGCCCACCCAAUGAUUUGAGAAUGUACAGACAAUUUCUGAUAUAAUCUCUGAUGUCUAUGUCUCUGUGGAGGAAUACUAAUAAACUAGCAAUGUAAGAGCACAGAUUGCUCUGAAAACUGUCAAAAAAAAAUUUUGUAUAGAUUUACAAGAAGUCAUUUUAAUAUGUACACAGGGAGCAAAUCUAAUAAAGACUGGGUUGUCAGAAAAUUAAACGACCAUGGAGUUAUUUUUCUUUAUUAAUUUAUUUGGUGUGUGUAAACUAAACCACAUCUAAUUCUGGCUUUUUAAAUUCAGUUACAACAAUUUUCAACAACAUAGUCACAAGAUGAUAAUACUAAAAACAAAACAAGAAAAUAAGAGAACAAAUAAUAAAAAUAAAAAAUAAAAAUUAAAAUUAGAUGAAAAACAAUUUUGGUUUAUUUCAAAUAAAAAUAGACACAUUAUUAAAAAUUCAAAUCAUCAGUGACAAAGAAUGAUUUAUUAAUUCAUACAGGUGGACCAGAAUGACUUCAUUGUAAAAUUGUUUGAAAUACCUUUAAUAUUUAGGUUUAGGUCACUAGGUUUUGUCUAGUUCAUAUGCAUAAAGAAUAAGUCUAUAUUAUAUAAAUAAAGUUGCUCUCCU